GCGGUCGUGGCCUAACGGUAAUGGCGCUUGUUUUCCAUGCAAGAAACCAGGGUUCGAUGCCUGGCCGCG
rnacentral:tRNA from 1 species